rnacentral:ncRNA from 1 species
AGCCCGCUUAACUGCGAGAGUGACGGCUCGAGCAGGUACGAAAGUAGGUCAUAGUGAUCCGGUGGUUCUGAAUGGAAGGGCCAUCGCUCAACGGAUAAAAGGUACUCCGGGGAUAACAGGCUGAUACCGCCCAAGAGUUCAUAUCGACGGCGGUGUUUGGCACCUCGAUGUCGGCUCAUCACAUCCUGGGGCUGAAGUCGGUCCCAAGGGUAUGGCUGUUCGCCAUUUAAAGUGGUACGCGAGCUGGGUUUAGAACGUCGUGAGACAGUUCGGUCCCUAUCUGCCGUGGGCGUUGGAUGAUUGAGGGGAGCUGCUCCUAGUACGAGAGGACCGGAGUGGACGAACCGCUGGUGUUCGGGUUGUGUCGCCAGACGCAUUGCCCGGUAGCUAAGUUCGGCACAGAUAAGCGCUGAAAGCAUCUAAGCGCGAAGCUGGCCCCGAGAUGAGUCAUCCCUAGAGCUUCGAGCUCUCUAAAGGGUUGUUCUAGACUAGAACGUUGAUAGGCAGGGUGUGUAAGCGCUGUGAGGCGUUGAGCUAACCUGUACUAAUUGCCCGUGAGGCUUAACCAU